GAGGUCGCUGUGCGACUGAUACAGGAUAACCUAGAUGGGCCCUGGUGGCCCUUUGUUAUCCUAUUAUUUAUGUUAUGUUAUGUAAUGUUUACUGGAGCCGAAUCCCACGGUGCACGGAUCCGCCAAGGCUGUGAUAAACAAACCCCCGGCCAGCACAACGCUCACGUGUGCUUACUGCUUACUGCUUGUAGGGAAUCUCGAUCCAGAAGCUCACCAUCAUGAUUCGUCUAGGAGCACCUCGCAUGGACCCUGCUGAAGAGAAGAAACGAGCACAGGAGGAAGAGAGAAUGGCUCGGGUGGCAUUAUAUUCAAAUAUUGCGACUUUCCUCGCCACGGUGGGACUAAUUCGAGCAGCACCUUACAUUGCGGAGCACUUCUUUUGAAGAGGAUGGCUCGAUGGACAGUUUCCAAAGCACUGCAUACUUCAAGAUGCCGUGUGAUAAACAUAGUGGAAUAUUUCCCCUGUUCUCUAUCCUUUACUUAUAUGAUAUAAUAUAAAUUAAUGUUUUCAUGUAUAUGUAUGUUAUAUUAUGAAUUGAUGUUUUUCUGUAUAUAUUCAGUUUGAGUAAAAGAACAUUUGACUGAA